UGAUGCCCGAGCAAGGGAGUGGUACAGGGAUGCGGCUGGUUUUCAAAUGGGCUCGUGAGCCCUUUCAUUGGGCCUGCACUUGUGCACACCUGAGUGGAUACCACUUGGAACUCAGAGCACUGGGCUAAGAGUAAUCGAUGAAUCGGCGGGACGGUGGCGCAGUGGUUAGCGCGGUCGCCUCACAGCAAGAAGGAACUUCGCAUUGCACUGGCACAAUGUUAGCACGCUCCUGGCUAAGGCUAGCUUUCUUCUUGGAAACUUGACA